rnacentral:rRNA from 1 species
AUGAAGUUCAACACCCUAGAUGAGGCUUGGAAAUUUUGGGGAUAUUACGGAGGAAGGAUGGGGUUCAGCAUCAGAAAAAGGUAUAAAAACAGAAGCAAAUUUGAUGGGAAAGUUACCUCCUGCAAAUAUGUUUGUUUCAAAGUGGGUAAAAAGGCAGUAGACAAAAGAUAUAAUGUUGUUAAGAAUCCAACAGCUGAGACUAGAAUUGACUGUAGAGUUCGUAUGACCCUUUCAAUAAAUCGUGAAGCUGGUAACUGGGCAAUAUCUGAUCUUUUUCUUGAACACAAUCACACACUUCAAUUGCCAGAAGCAUGCCACCUAUUGCUAUGA